UGGAUCAAUGAUGAUUCAUGCUGAUGUAUAAGUCAUCGAUGAUGAAUAAUCUGUGUCUGGAACUCUGAGGUCCAA